rnacentral:miRNA from 1 species
UACUACUCCCUCAGUCCCUAA